GACAUAUUAGGUUCCUACCAUGGACAUCUGGACACAGACGCUACCAAAUCUGAUGAAACAAUCAAAGUGAUCAUCGCAUACUCGCCGUGACGGAAUCCAUAGUCCUAUCAGACAACCGUUCCUUGUAAACUGAACCAAAAAGAAAAUGUGACUUUCCAACCAUCACGCAUUAAAGGGCCUCUGUUAAGCUUUUUAUUUCGAAACCUGCUGAUGAUACUGCAUACAACGUGGACCCUCUCCCGCCUCCCUUCAGACACCCCUCCAAAUCAAAGCAUGGUCUUAACGGGCCUCCCAUCUCGUCUCUGGGUCCAGGCCUGUCUGUAACUUGUGUCCAGUCCUUCCAUGGCCUUAACUGGGUGGGGAUUUUUUGGGGGUGGAGGAAGCAGGGCAGGGUGGGUGGAAGAGGAAAAGGAACCACAUGAGGAUGAAGGAGAAGGAGAGGCAGAAAACUGCAAACAGACUUGUACAUUAUUCAGUGGGCCUCUCAUCUCACACAAACAGGACUCCAGCUUGGUGGUGAUCUCUCAUAAAAGACUGCCUCACAGUGCGCUCCUCUUUCAUAGCCCCCUGCCUCAGUUCUGCGUACCGUCCACACCAGAUUAAUUACAUCAGAAAGUACAUAAAAUGCUUUUCAGAUCGGCUCUGCGCACAUCUGAGCAGGAAGAGAGAGGAACUGGCACGUCAGCUUGUCCGGUGCGUUCGCUUGGUCUGAAAGACGGGCGUGGUGGGGUGGAGAAGACGGGGAACGGUCUGCACAUGCUCAGUCCAGACUGGGAGGGAGGAGGGAGCUGGAAGCAAUGUAGUUUACGCCCUUAAAGCGUGUGUGUGUGUGCGUGCGUGCGUGCGUGUGUGUGGUUGGGAUGCGUCAGUGUCAGGCUUCACCUGAAUGUGUCUGUGUGUGUGUGCUUGGAUUGUGACAGGUUACUGAAGCCGUGUGUGUGCGUGCGUGCGUGCGUGCGUGUGUGUGUGAAAGGUCGUUGUAGAGGGCUGACUGGGACAGUGCUGUGUGUGUCUCUGUAUUGAAAUGUUUACAGUCUAGAUGUUCCCUGUGUGUGCAACUGGCAGUCCUCCCUUUACUUUGCUAAUGUUUACAGCUGCAGAAAAGCAACAUGACAUAUUGUAAAUUUCACUUGUAACCUCUCUCAGUUUUUCUCUAUCAGAUCUGCCAGAUUUUUCAUGUAAAAAUUAGUCAUUUCUUAAAGAGAGAGCCUGGAGUGAGCGCGACUGCGAGACUGUGUCCGUUGCAUGGAGGGAUUACUGAGUGGAACCAGCCAGGUACAGAACCAGAGGACCCAAUUUGUCCAGCAGCCAGUAACUGAUACCUCCACAUGGAGAGCAAAGCAUAGACAGUAAUUGUGAAAGAAGCUUGCUGGUCACAGAGUGCUGUGUCCAAGCAUAUCACUGUAAGUGUUGUAAAACCUGUCCAAGCAACAGAAAACUGCAGCCUUUUGGUGUUAUGUAAUGUUCUUGCUUAGGAAAGGUCAUAACCAUCAAAAGAACCAACAAACAAAUGCUUGAAAUGUCUGUCAACACUUAAUCUGUUUAACACAGAUGCAGUAAAUGAGUUUUACGUUUUUCUUUUAAGACUUUUUUUUUUUUACUUUUCAUUUCAAAUAAAUAUUUUAGUACACACCCACUCCCGACCCCACUAAGGGACAAGGGUGCAUAGAAAAUGGAUGGAUGGAGUAUACACCCAUAAAAAUUAACAAGCAAUGCAUUUGUUAACAUGUCCUUUAAGAGUUUCAUAAAAUUUCUGGGAAGUCAUAAAAUUUGCUUACACCUGAGAUCAUGUACCUGACUAGAAAUUUAGAAUUAAAACUGAUAAAAAAUAAAUAAAAAAAAAACAGCAAAAGGAGGACAAAGCCCAUAACAGUUAAAUAAAAAAUGUACAACACUGUGGCAGGACAGUUGGAUGCAAUGAAAUAUUAUUAUUAUUAAAAUAUCACCGUAUUUCUUGUUAAACUGAAGACUGUUUCUAUGUUUGGGACUGAUCGUGAUUUAAUUAUGACUUAUCUUUUAAAAGGUUUUUCUGAAAUUCUAGCAUUACCAAAUUCUAAUAAGAAAUAGUUUGACAAACAGGGAUUGAGACAGGAUGUUUCACCAUAAAACUAGAGGGACAAGGAAGCAUUGAUAUCAAGAAUGUCUUCAAGGUAUUUGGAAAAGACAUCUCAUGAAAAGGUCAAAUCUGACUGUUUGUGGCCACUGUGUUCAAUUGCUGUCAGCUUGUGACAUUAUCUGCUUCAAACUUGACCCUCUGUUUGUUUCUAUAUUUGAGAACUUUUAUUUUAAAAUAGGAAGGAAAGUACAAGUUUUACCCGAGUGACCUGAAAGCAGAUAUGUAUUUAUAUAUUCCUGAUUGGUACAAAAAGUCCCAGGGCAAUGGCAUCUUUUGAUAUCUGAAAAGGUUGAGUACAAGAUAACUAAAUCUGAAAAAAAAUAUGAAACUGAAAAUGACCUGUUCCCUACUCUAGCAAGGGAGAGUAAAAAUAAACGAUAAAGGCACUUAAAGAAACCUGGAGUGUCACUCAAAGCAAAAAUGGGCUGCAAAAAGAUUCUGCAAAAACCUUUACAAAAAUUUUUAAAUAAAUGAGGACGCGUAAGGCAACUGCAUUUGGAUUCUUCAAAAUGACUCGUGUGACUUUCUCGGUCCUCUUUUCCCUCUUCUGUUCUCUGGUUGCUCUGUUGGCUCGUAAUCCCUCCAUGACUGUUUGUGCAUGUGUGUUUGCAACUCAAAAGGGGGCCUCCUGGUCUCUGCUACAGUCAGCUCCCCCACAUUGUGUUUCUGCUGGAAACUGAUGUACCUGUCUGCGACUGGAGACGCGAGGCACUCGGACCCUCAAAAGGACUCUUGUUGUUCCACUGUGGAGCCACUGAAACGGGGCUUAUUUAUUCAUUUGUUCAUAUUUAACAACAUUUGUUUAAUAUUCCAAUCAUGUGAGGUGUUACUCACUCUUCAGAAUGCCAAGAGCUGAUGUGUGAAGACUACUACGAAUCAACGUACAAACUGCAUUUACAAAGCUACUGUAAACAAAUGGUGGAAUAAAUUGUGCUAGA